rnacentral:rRNA from 1 species
GGGACCCCGCACAAGCGGUGGAUCAUGUUGUUUAAUUCGAUGAUACGCGAAGAACCUUACCAGGUCUUGACAUCCCCCGCGAUGCUUUAGAGAUAAAAGCGGAGGUAUUCGGGGAGACAGGUGGUGCAUGGUUGUCGUCAGCUCGUGUCGUGAGAUGUUGGGUUAAGUCCCGCAACGAGCGCAACCCUAUUGCUAGUUACCAUCAUUAAGUUGGGGACUCUAGCGAGACUGCCAGUGAUAAACUGGAGGAAGGUGGGGAUGACGUCAAAUCAUCAUGCCCCUUAUGACCUGGGCUACAAACGUGAUACAAUGGCUGGAACAAAGGGAUGCGAAGCAGUGAUGUGGAGCGAAACCCAUAAAAACAGUCUCAGUUCGGAUUGAAGUCUGCAACUCGACUUCAUGAAGUCGGAAUCGCUAGUAAUCGCGGAUCAGAACGCCGCGGUGAAUACGUUCUCGGGGUUU